rnacentral:tRNA from 1 species
AAGGUUCUAGCUUAAUUAAAGUAUCUGAGUUGCAUUCAGGGGAUGCAGGUUAGUGUCUUAGCGAAUCUUA